UACGUAGGGUGCGAGCGUUGUCCGGAAUUAUUGGGCGUAAAGAGCUCGUAGGCGGUUUGUCACGUCGGAUGUGAAAUCCACUGGCUUAACUGGUGGCUUGCUUUCGAUACGGGCAGACUGGAGGUAUGCAGGGGAGAACGGAAUUCCUGGUGUAGCGGUGAAAUGCGCAGAUAUCAGGAGGAACACCGGUGGCGAAGGCGGUUCUCUGGGCAUGUCCUGACGCUGAGGAGCGAAAGUGUGGGGAGCGAACAGG
rnacentral:rRNA from 1 species